GGUAACAGCUCGAAUACAUAUAUUUUAUAUUUAUAUAAUUUAUUUAAUUUAUAUUUAUAUAUAUAAAUAAAUAAUUUAAAUACAUAAUAUAUAUUUUUAUUAUUUAAUUUUUAGCAAAAUAAAAAUAUAAAGUCAAGCUUAAUUAUAAAAAAACUCAUUUAUAUGUAAAAUUUCAACUAUUAGAUCAAAAUCUAAUGGAUAAGAUUUUAUAAAUUUAUUUUUUAUAUAUAUUUAAUCUAAUUAUUUUAAUUUAUUGUUCGUUGGUCAGCUCGUGAGUCAGCUCGUGUUCGUCUCGUUUAUUAACGAAUCGAACACAAGCUGAAUUUUUUGACUCGAUACUUUAACAAGCCAACCCCAACUCACUCGUGUUCGGCUCGUUUACACCCCUAGGUGGGGGUGACCACGAAAGUGACUCGAAAGUUGACCACAAUCUUUAAAAGGAGGAGGAAAAGGGACCAACAAAAAAAAAAAGAAAAAAAAGAAAAAGAGAGAAUGAUGCAUAAAAGGACUUCUUUUAGCCGUAAUUACGGAAUUGUACCUUAUUUGUACCAUCACUUUUUUUUUUAGUGUUAAUUGCAUAUAGGUCCCCACAAAUAUAGUAAAUUAUAAAUAUUUCCCUAUAAAGUGUGAUUUUUAUAAAUUAUUCCUGCGAAAAUUUUAAUAUUUUCAUAUAUGUCCCUCUGGUUUGUUACCAUUAGAGAACUGUUAGAAAACUAUUUGUAUUUUCAAUUUUGUCAUCACAAAUAUAUCCAUCCAAAAGUUAUAACAAUAUAAUAUAAAAGUAAACAUGUCAAAAAUUAAUCAGGGUAAAAUAUUUAAUCUAUGGUAAACUAAACUUUUCUAAUAAAUUCUAACGGCAUGGACAUAUUUGAAAAUAUUAGGACUUUUGUAGGAAUAACUUAUCAAAGUUGAACUUUAAAGGAAUAUAUUUGCAACUCACUAUGUUUGCAGGGAUCUGUAUGUAAUUAACCACUUUUUUUUAUAUUUAUUUUUUAUUUUUUAUUUUGUCUAAAUUACACUUUGGUCCUCAAACUAGGAGACGUCUGAUAUUUUGAUUCUCAAAAUUUAAUUGAUAUAAUUUUUUUAAACUCAAAACUUUGUACAAUAGUGUAAAAAGCCUCACAACUUAAUUUAGUUGACAAAUAUUAAUUGAUGUGUCCCUAAUGUGAAAGUGAUGUAGUAACACAUCGAUAUUUAGUUAACUAAUUAGAUUGUGAUUAUAAUAAUUUAUAAAGUUUGUAAUUGAAAUUAUAAUAUA
rnacentral:lncRNA from 1 species